UACCUCAGUAACGGCGAGUGAAGCGGUAAUAGCUCAAAUUUGAAAUCUGGCUCUUUCAGGGUCCGAGUUGUAAUUUGUAGAGGAUGUUUCGGGCACGGUUACGGUUUAAAUUUCUUGGAACAGAAUGUCAUAGAGGGUGAGAGUCCCGUCUUGAACCGAUUACUUCGUCCAUGUGAAACUCCUUCGACGAGUCGAGUUGUUUGGGAAUGCAGCUCAAAAUGGGUGGUAAAUUUCAUCUAAAGCUAAAUAUUGGCCAGAGACCGAUAGCGCACAAGUAGAGUGAUCGAAAGAUGAAAAGCACUUUGAAAAGAGAGUUAAACAGUAUGUGAAAUUGUUGAAAGGGAAGCGCUUGUAAUCAGACUUGAGCUUAACAGUUCCCCCUUCGUUCUCGUUGGGUUAUUCUGUUUUGUCCAGGCCAACAUCAGUUCGAGUGGUUGGUUAAAGACUUUAGGAAUGUAUCUACCCUUCGGGGUCGACUUAUAGCCUGGAGUGUCAUGCAGCCUACUUGGACUGAGGAACGCGCUUCGGCUCGGAUGUUGGCGUAAUGGUUAUAAGCGACCCGUCUUGAAACACGGACCAAGGAGUCUAACAUCUAUGCGAGUCUUUGAGUGGAAAACUCCCAGGCGUAAUGAAAGUGAACGGAGGUAAGAAGCCUUUAGGCUGCAUUAUCGACCGAUCUUGAUGUCUUCGGAUGGAUUUGAGUAAGAGCAUAGCUGUUGGGACCCGAAAGAUGGUGAACUAUGCCUGAAUAGGGUGAAGCCAGAGGAAACUCUGGUGGAGGCUCGCAGCGGUUCUGACGUGCAAAUCGAUCGUCAAAUUUGGGUAUAGGGGCGAAAGACUAAUCG
rnacentral:rRNA from 1 species